UCUCAGAGAUUAAGCCAUGCAUGUCUACGUACAAACCUUCAAACGGUGAAACCGCGAAUGGCUCAUUAAAUCAGCUAUGGUUCCUUAGAUCGUACAUACUACAUGGAUAACUGUAGUAAUUCUAGAGCUAAUACAUGCCACUAUGCCCUGACCCGCAAGGGAACGGGUGGAUUUAUUAGAACAGAACCAACCGGUAGUGACUUCGGUCAUUGCCGUUGCAUUCUGUGAUGACUCUGGAUAACUUUACUGAUCGCAGUCGGCCUUGUGUCGGCGACGGAUCUUUCAAAUGUCUGCCCUAUCAAUUUUCGAUGGUAGGUGACCUGCCUACCAUGGUGAUAACGGGUAACGGGGAAUCAGGGUUCGAUUCCGGAGAGGGAGCCUGAGAAACGGCUACCACUUCCAAGGAAGGCAGCAGGCGCGCAAAUUACCCAAUCCCGGCACGGGGAGGUAGUGACGAAAAAUACGGAUACGGGACUCAUUAGAGGCUCCGUAAUUCGAAUGAGUACAAUUUAAAUCCUUUAACGAGGAUCAACUGGAGGGCAAGUCUGGUGCCAGCAGCCG
rnacentral:rRNA from 1 species